ensembl:lncRNA
GAAAAGGUAGAGAUUUUAUUAAAGACCUUUUUAACUUCACCAAAAUGGAUGAGAACAUCUUUCCAAAAUGUUAUUCACUGGAAUGAAGAGAGCUUAGAGUUCUUGGUCAGGCAGAGCUCGAUCAACUUCCCUUUUUGUGUGGUAUAUUUGUUAUUUCUGGCACCCUCUUACAGCCAUAAAGUAAAUAUGAUGUUGCAGGUGGGUUGUGCUACUGUGGUGCUACCUGGUGUUAUUUCUGCAUGUAUAUCAUGAUAUGACUUUAACAAAUGCAGCACAGAUACUCUAUUCACAAUUUUUCUUUCAUCUGGCAUUCUGCUUUACUGUUGCAGGUUUCAUUUCUGGCCUUUUAUGAGUUCUACUUUUCUCUCGUAUCUCCCACAUCACCAGUGAAUCUGUAAAGUUUUGAAAUAAUUCUUCCUUAGGAGUAUUAACUCUACAUUUUCUGAGAACACUUUCAUUGUGUUACUCCUUCCGGGCUCCCAAUAUUGCUUUGUCCCUCUGCUUCUGUUUCCUUGUCCUUAGUUUUGCUCUGUGUGAGUGACCAAGGACCACAGCGUUCACUUGGCUGAGUUAACAGGUGCAGGUGGCAUCUUCAUCUUCAUUGAGGUGCAUGUCUUCCCAAAAUCUCUUCUGAACUUAGGCCUAGAUUAAUACUGCUGUGUCUUUAAACCAUCAAAAUCAAGCUAGUUCUUUAUCAGCUAUUUUGCUUUUUCUUGUGGUAUAUAAUUGAUAUAUGAAAUUUUCAUGUGUUCAACAAAACAUAUAUUCUGUUUUUCAGUUACAAAAUCAAUUAAUUUGCUAAUGAAAAGCAAGUUCUUACAGGUGAACCACUUGUCCUUAUUCCGAACUCUUAAAUCAACACUAUUGUCUGACCAAGGCUAUGUAAAACUGACAUAAUUUCUCACUGUUUAUGGUCCUGGAAAGCUUUUUAUCAGUAGGGAAAUUGUAACUGAGGAAAAUGCAAUACAACAUUUUUCUGUGAUUUCAUCCAACAACUCUGAACAGUCUGUCCUUUGACGGUGAAAAUGCAUCAGAAGACAGGAGCUCACCUAACUGGGUGACUACUGUACAGCGUACAGGCAAACACUUUCUCUGCCAGUAAAGGCUGGAUUUUGUGGCUGUGCUCUGAGAAGAAACUCCAGUGAGAUAACAGAUGAGAUGGCAGCAGGUGUAGGAGUUCCCAUGAAUAAAACAGAAGCAGCAGCAAUAGAGGAGCUGAGCAGCUGGGCUUAGGUACUCGAUGUUGUCAUUCUCUCACUGCAAGAUUGAUUCCAUGGAUGUCUCACUGAAAUUAUUUUAGCUGGCUAGUUGGAUUUUCCUCUAGUUUUGUCUGAUAACUGAUUUUUCUUUCUAGAUGUGUGUUUUGCGUUUAUCAUGGUAAAUUUAGGAAAAUGGCUAAGAAAAGUCUUGACAAAAAUCAGCAAGUUACUCAAGAGAAAAUAUAAAGUUAUAUUCCUCUUCCUUUGGAGCUGCUGGAAGUAUUGUGUUAUAGAAUCAAAUCUGCUGUGUGCACUGUGCAUCUUUCUUUUUUUCUGUACUUACCAUUCCCUUUGGUUCUUAGAUGCUUUCACAGAAGACUAUAAAGGACCUUUGCUGGAUUAAUUUUCUUUAUCACCUAAACUUGUUAUAUAAAAACAACUUCUCUGCAAGAGAGCCUGGUAGUAACACGGUAGAGUUUUCCUUUUAUAUUAUGUACAUUGUAAACUCUUGUCAGCAAAUUGGAUGCUAAUAGAAGCAGAGGAGAAUCCACGCUUGUGUGGCUGAAUUCCUAACAAGGGCAAAUCCAACCAGUGGGCUACACUGAACUGGUUUAGUAACUGAAACUGAAUUUACUGUUUUGCUACAAACACAGAUGCUGGUGCUUCAUCAUGAGUCCCUUUUACCCAGGGGUGAGAGAGAGGGGGAUUCUUGUGAGUAGAAGCAGAUGGCACUUCUGCCUAUUUUAAAGCAGUCUCAUUAAGAGAUGCUGCUGAGAAAAACUGCAUGGACUUAAUUUUUUUUUUUGGUAAUGUGUAAAUUUGGAGAGCAUUAUCAGCAGAUAUAGUCGUACUGUGAGAAAAAAAUAAGUAUGAUUUGUGGUUAAUUCCAAAAUUAGGUGUCUCCUUUGCUCAACUCUCAUGUCAUAAAAAAAGCUACAAAAGAAAGAUAAGCAACUCUGGACUUCUUUAUGGAAUUACAUAGUUACAGUGCAAAUUUCGUGAAUAAUUUUUCAAGGUUCUUAACUGCAAAGAGGCUUGUAAAAGUUUGAAAAUAUAAACUGUUAUGAAAUACCAUGUUUUGCUCCUCUGAGAAAAAAAUAUACAAAAUUUUAAUUUCUAAUUAAAUGAAGAAUUUUUCAAUCCAAAUUUCAGCUCAGAACAAUAUUAUUGUUGUUUUUAUUGUUUUUAUCAGCCACCUGCCAUGUACUAAGUCCAAGUAAAAACAUGCAAAGACCAGUCCAUGGAAUGUGCUGAGGCUUGAAGAGUUUGUUGUUCCUGUUUCUUGGCUUGCAUAAGGAGGUAAGCAAAGAACUGAGAGCUUACUAAUACCUGACAAAAAGCUCCUUAUUUCCUUAUGGAACAGCAAAUGCCUGCCCCAGAUAGUGCAGGUCAGGUGGGUAAUGUAUAUCUGCAUGUACCUCAGACAUGGAGAACAGCACAGACAGGUCUGUCAGGGAUAUAAACAAGCAUUUUAUGUUCCAUUAGUCUCUUGGAUUUUAUUCUCAAUUUCUCCAAGAGAAACAGGCUUUGAUACCAUCCCUGCACUGAGUUAUAGCCCAUUAUACUGAGAAACCUGAGAAAUAAAUUUGCAGGCAUUCACACAUCCCUCAAACCACUCAGCUCUGAGAUGCUUCACUCAGCAUCGCCUUCCCUGCAGGAUCCACUAAUUGACAAGUCUGCUGAAGCACAGGAGAGAUCCAAGGUGCACACACUGAAAGGAAGAGAGAGAGUUGAGGGUCUUUGGUGUCACUGUCAAGGGGAUGGACCAGGCUCUGCUCUGUGGAACAGAGGAACAGGCAGGAACUGAUGCCCAGGAAGUUUCUCCUGGAUAUGAGGAAGAACUUUCCACACAGUGAGAGAGCUCUGAAAGAGACCAGGUAGGAGGUGAAGUCUUCCUCACUGGGGAUAUUCCAGAACCAUCUGACAAUCCUGUGCCAUGUGCUGUGGGAUAGAGAUGCUGGAGCAGGGAGGUGGGAUCAGAUGAGCCACGGUGUAAAGCCAGGGACCUCAGAUACCGGGAAAGCUGGGCAGGACUGAACACACAUCCAACGAAUAUGAUUAAUGCUACAUUCUCUGUUUAUUUGAGAAAAGAUGGCAGUUUAUAUACACUUCUAUAUAGUUUACAGUUUACAAAGGCACUCUCAUUGGCAAGCUAACAUUGUUUGUCUUUGUCUUAAGGUGGCCUAAACCUUACACUAUAAACCUGUUCUACUUCACACACAGACAGCCCAGUGCUUCACGUCACACCUUAAUACAGUUUCUAACUGCACCACAAUCUCUUAAUUUCUAACUGCAUCAGAGGCUGGAAGGCCUCACAAGGCCCAAAUCUGAGGCCUAGACUGGAGUAGCUCAAAUCUCAUUCCAGACAUAAAUCAUGCCCUCUCUCUCUCAGAAAUUCUGUAACAACUGUGGGUCUUUCCAGCCUUGUUUGUAGUAUGAUUGUACAGACAAUGAGACCUUCCAGCCUUGUGCUUGAAGGUCCCUCUCAUGGGCUGUUGUUUCACACCCCAGCAGCAGAGUGCAUGCGCAUGGCCCAGAGCUGGCAGCUGGGAAAGCCAGAGCACAUAUUUUAGCUUACUGCUGACCACCUCAUCUUUUUUCAUCCCUUCAAGUGGGGCAGAUCUUUUUUGAAGUGAGAAAAGUAGUUAGCUCUGUAGCAGCAGGAAUUGGUAGUAGUCAUAUUGUAGAACCACAAAUCAUAGAAUCACAGAGCCUCAGCAUCACAGAAUCACAGAAUAGCCUGAGCUGGAAGGGAGCCAAAAGGAUCAUUCAGUUGAGCUCCUGUCCCUGCACAGACACCCCAACAACCCCACCCUGUGCACCCCUGGGAGUGUUGUCCAAACCCUCCUGGAGCUCUGGCAGCCUUGGGGCCGUGCCCAUUCCCUGGGGAGCCUGGGCAGUGCCCAGCACCCUCUGGAGAAGAACCUUUCCCUGAGCUCCAGCCUGACCCUGCCCUGGCACAGCUCCAGAAGUUCCCUUCAAUCCCGUCUGUUGGAAUCCUGGAUGCUGAGAAUUUUAGACUUUCUGUGCUGAAAGAUCCACAAGAGAACACUGAAUUUGACCUGAUGCUGUGGAGAAGACGUUAAAAAUUGGUUGGUAGUACUGGGAUUACUGGGUGUGUAGCUAAUUAGAAGUGUGUAAUAUCUCAGGGGGGAAAACUUAGAGUUUGGGGUUUAUAUAGAAAUAAAUAUGAAGCAAGAUGGAGGUUUUAGGGUGGAGAAAGAUUGUUCUUUACCUUCAUCCUUCUUCUUCAUGGGUUUGGGUGAUGUUUUGUGAUUGGACAGAAAAGUCUGCAUUGCAGACUUUGAGGGAUCAGUUAUUGGGUUAAAAGGGAAAAUAAUCUAGGUGUCCUUUCUUAAUUGGAUAGGUUAGUUUUAAAAGACCUUGUAACAAGAGCUAGUUAGCCACUUUGUGCCUUGGUAAUGAAAGGCUGCAGAACUCAUGGUUGUGAGGUUGUUUCACUGAUAAGAAAUAAUAAACACCUGAGUCCAAACAUGGUCUGCAGUCUCAAGUGCCUUCAAUCCUGACCCUGAGAAAAAGAAACUUGGAAAUUUGAAAAGCCACAGAAAAGCAAAAAGUUUUCAUUUGAAACAUUCACAUGGAAAAAAAAAGGCCUUUGGUCCACACAGAAAUCUGAGAAUUCUUACAAACCUUAACAGAGAAGGUGCAAGAAAUGAGGACCUAAUAGAUAAUGUAAUAAAUGAAAAGAGAGAACCAAAGUUCUCACAAAUUGAAAGGAUAAUAGCCUUUAAAAAAAGUUAAAAGGAGAUAAUAUCAGGUUGUUUCCUUACAACCACUUUUAUCUGUAAGAGAAACAAAACACAACUUACAUAAUUUGGCAAAAGAAUUUCAAUCCUAAGUAUUUUUCUUUUAUAGAAUUUCUAGACAGGACAACUCUGAAGAAUCUUUAUGGCUUUCUUCUAUUUGUUUGCUAAUGUCAGUGACUUUUUAAAUCUUCUUGGGGAAAUUAAAAAACAGUAUUUUAUUCUUUUACAAUGUGUAAACAAACAACAGAACUGCAACAUGUGUCCUUUUAUAUCCUUUUAUAUAUCUUUUUUGGGCAAAGAAAACUAAUAACAGCUUGCAGAUCAAAUAUGAGAUAUUGGAAUCCAGCCCUAAAGAUGAUAUUUAUUUCCAGCAUUCCCAGGCCUAUCAGUGUACAAGGAGGAAAAUGUAAUUUGACAUUGCUGCAUUUGAAUAGCAUUCAUGGUUAAUUAGGUUACCAGUACCACUGGCAGGGUUUAAUAUUGUCCCUUAGGAGUAGAUCUUUUACCACACUGUAUGCAAAUGAUAACCUUGAGUAUCUAUUUUAUCCUUUCCAUCAGUACUCUGCUGUGUUCUGCUGCUCUACAAAAAUAUAAUACACUUAAAAUAACAAAGACAGCAGUAGCUGCAGUUUUAUCCAGAUGUAAUUUAUGCUAUCUGUCGGACAUACUGAGAGCAACUGAAAAUUUGGAGAUUUCUGAAUUAAUCUCAGCUAAGUCCUGGAGUUCUAGAGAUGCUGGAUCUUCUGCUGAAAUCUUAACACUGUCUUGUACUCAAAUGCUUUUUCUGUUCCAACUCUGACUCUCUCAUAGUAUCAGUAUCCAGAGAAAGACUCAAUCCUGAAAGUUAUAUAGAAAUUCCAUUUUGUCUGACCAAACUGCAGCAUGUACAUUCACAAAGUCAUGUUUUUCUUCCUCCAUAACUUUGCUAAGACAGUAGACUUAAAACCACAACAGCAGUAUUUUCUCAUUUCUAAAUCUACAUGUUUAUCUUGCAUUGUCUAAUAGUUGCACCGUGAAGAGACUGCACUUGAAAUUUCUUUGUGUGGGAGUUUAGAAAGUGUAAGUAAGUAUUUUAUCACAGUCCUCUUCUACACAGAAACCCACUAGAAAACAGAAAUUAUAUCAAAAUAAGAUAAAGAGUCUUUAAAUAUAAGGCAGCAAACGAGACAAAAGGCUAGUGCUGUUUCCCUUUUACCUGUAACUGCAGAUUUCAUGUGACUGUCGUGAUGUCCAUGAGUAAAAAUGGUGCUCCUCAGUCCAGUGCCUUCUCCAGGGCUCUCCAAACCACUCACCUGCCACCUGGAGGCAAAAAGAGUGAAGAUGAUGGGCUGGGAUCAGAAGCAGGUGCUGGAAACAGCAAUGAGACAAGAAAAGGAGCACUAACAGCAGCAAUAGUUAAGCCAGACAGUAAACGAAAGGAUUCCCACAGAAAAACCCGCUGAGAACAGACAAUACCAGGUGGUUCUCUCAGCCUUGUUUCCUCCACCAAGAGGAAUCCCUACUCCCCAAGAGAGACUCCCCCUUUCCCCCACACCUGGCAACUGUGAGUCAGUACAGAAUAACCUCAGGCUCUUUGCUCUGCCCCACCUGGCAAAAAAAAUUAACCCUAUCCAGACCAGAAUCAGGCCAGGACUUUUCAAAUAUGAUAUAGAGAACUGCUCAGAAAUGACAUCUUGUGUAUGUAAUUGAGCAUUGUCUUAGUGCCCAUGAAUGAAUUUAAAUGGGCAUAGAAAUAGAUAUCCAGCUGCAACUGUAUUUCUCUGCAAACCUUGUAGAUGACAAGUAAAAAUAAGUCACUGUUUUCUACUAGACAGAAUUCUCAUAUACUUUUUAGCUAUUUUUUUUUUUUAAUUUCAGAAAGAACUUUAAACACUAUUUGGUCAUCAGAGAAUCUAAUUAUAUUUCUUGUCAUGUUCUUGAAUUAUUUUCUGUCACUGGUUGAAGGAUUGUGUUUUUCUUUCUAGUUUCAAAAUUAUAGGUCCUACAAGGAUGCAAAGCAAAAAAACCUCUAAAAGAUUUUCAUUGAAGAUUAUAACUGUAUUCUUUUUUCAAUUUUAAUUGUGUUUAACUGUGCUUUUCAGGAAAAUAAGCAGGAAAAGACACAAGAUGUCAAAAUGUUAUAUUUUCUAAAUAUUUUUUUUGUUUAUAUUAAAAUUUCAGAAAAGUGGUAUAUUGCAAAGCCCAGCAGCACACAGCACCUUUUGAGUGUCAAUGUGCCUUACCUCAGAUUUAUUAGUACUGAAGAAAAUUAAUAUAAGAUUCAUAUAAGCAAAUUCAGCCCCAAACUUUGUGGCUUUGCUGAAGUUAUGCCUGUGAGGACUUAAUUACAUUUUCUGCUGA